rnacentral:lncRNA from 1 species
UUAAGUAGUGAACGUACUUUCUUGCUUACUUUGUUCAAUACAGAUUUCUCCAUUUCUGUCUGCAGAAAACCUUGCUGGGAGCAUAUUUUCCCUUGCCUUGGCCAUACUGAUGCAAGCUGGGUGCCACAGUGCAGAGGUCCAGGUCUAAUGCAAGUGCUUGCUAUAAUCUCCUCCUGACGGUGGUCAUGAAUCAUUCUUGAAUAAGUCUUCCACAGAAAUGGCUUUGACAUUCUGUUGAGUCAUCUGUGCAGUCUGGGAGGGUUUGCUGUGUGCUGGCUCCACACCUGCAUUUUCCAGAACAAGCCAGUGGGAAAUGGCCCGUGUAGUCACUCGUGGUGUCCUGCACUGCACUGCAGUACCAUGCACCAUUCUUGGUCAUCCCCCAUCUCUUUCCAAAGAAUGAGCUCAGUUAUCUCAAACCACUGAAG